rnacentral:rRNA from 1 species
AUGGUGGAAUGGAUAGAGGAUGUGGUUGGUCAAAAGAAUAACCUCAUUGUCUUUGGAGUCCUUAACAAUCUCCGGAAGUUACUUGGACUAUCAAAGAUGAAUUUUGUGGUUUCACCAAAGGUAAGCGAUGAAGACGAGUCCAAGAGGCAUGAGCAAGAGAUUAUGGAAUUCGGGUCGUCGGAUCCAGAAUAUGUGAUCAUCGCGACUAUCUCUUUGCUCAACCUUGUUUGCCUGCUGGGAGGGCUAAGUAAAGUCAUGAAAGGUGGAUGGAAUGUACACUUGGAUGCACUUUUCCCCCAGCUCAUUCUCUGUGGGAUGGUGGUAUUCACCAGUAUCCCAUUCUAUGAAGCAAUGUUCCUAAGGAAGGACAAAUGCAGAAUACCAUUCCCAGUUACACUAGCUUCUAUUGGCUUUGUGAUGUUGGCCCUACCGACAACAAUAGUUCAAGGUCCCACAAGAGGCAUCGGUGUGUAA